AGUGAACGCUGGCGGUAGGCCUAACACAUGCAAGUCGAACGGCAGCACAGUAAGAGCUUGCUCUUACGGGUGGCGAGUGGCGGACGGGUGAGGAAUACAUCGGAAUCUACUUUUUCGUGGGGGAUAACGUAGGGAAACUUACGCUAAUACCGCAUACGACCUACGGGUGAAAGCCGGGGAUCUUCGGACCUUGCGCGAUUGAAUGAGCCGAUGUCGGAUUAGCUAGUUGGCGGGGUAAAGGCCCACCAAGGCGACGAUCCGUAGCUGGUCUGAGAGGAUGAUCAGCCACACUGGAACUGAGACACGGUCCAGACGCCUACGGGAGGCAGCAGUGGGGAAUAUUGGACAAUGGGCGAAAGCCUGAUCCAGCCAUACCGCGUGGGUGAAGAAGGCCUUCGGGUUGUAAAGCCCUUUUGUUGGGAAAGAAAAGCAGCAGGUUAAUACCCCGCUGUUCUGACGGUACCCAAAGAAUAAGCACCGGCUAACUUCGUG
rnacentral:rRNA from 1 species